rnacentral:rRNA from 1 species
GAGCGGAUGACGGGAGCUUGCUCCUUGAUUCAGCGGCUCACGGGUGAGUAAUGCCUAGGAAUCUGCCUGGUAGUGGGGGACAACGUUUCGAAAGGAACGCUAAUACCGCAUACGUCCUACGGGAGAAAGCAGGGGACCUUCGGGCCCUGCGCUAUCAGAUGAGCCUAGGUCGGAUUAGCUAGUUGGUGGGGUAAUGGCUCACCAAGGCGACGAUCCGUAACUGGUCUGAGAGGAUGAUCAGUCACACUGGAACUGAGACACGGUCCAGACUCCUACGGGAGGCAGCAGUGGGGAAUAUUGGACAAUGGGCGAAAGCCUGAUCCAGCCAUGCCGCGUGUGUGAAGAAGGUCUUCGGAUUGUAAAGCACUUUAAGUUGGGAGGAAGGGCAGUAAGUUAAUACCUUGCUGUUUUGACGUUACCGACAGAAUAAGCACCGGCUAACUCUGUG